UUGGGACUUAGUCAGGAUAGCUCAGCUGGUAGAGCAGAGGACUG
rnacentral:tRNA from 1 species